GACGAACGCUGGCGGCGUGCUUAACACAUGCAAGUCGAACGGAAAGGCCCUGCUUUUGUGGGGUGCUCGAGUGGCGAACGGGUGAGUAACACGUGAGUAACCUGCCCUUGACUUUGGGAUAACUUCAGGAAACUGGGGCUAAUACCGGAUAGGAGCUCCUGCUGCAUGGUGGGGGUUGGAAAGUUUCGGCGGUUGGGGAUGGACUCGCAGCUUAUCAGCUUGCUGGUGGGGUAGUGGCUUACCAAGGCUUUGACGGGUAGCCGGCCUGAGAGGGUGACCGGCCACAUUGGGACUGAGAUACGGCCCAGACUCCUACGGGAGGCAGCAGUGGGGAAUAUUGCACAAUGGGCGGAAGCCUGAUGCAGCAACGCCGCGUGCGGGAUGACGGCCUUCGGGUUGUAAACCGCUUUCGCCUGUGACGAAGCGUGAGUGACGGUAAUGGGUAAAGAAGCACCGGCUAACUACGUG
rnacentral:rRNA from 1 species